ensembl:lncRNA
CUGCUGUCCUUCUGACAGUCUGCUGUAUGCUGUUGUCAGAAGAGAUUGUCUGUGUUGAGCAGGGUGCUCAGCGCUCCACGAGUUGCUAAAUAUCUACCGAGGUUGAUGACUUUUUGAAGUACAGAGGAGCAUCUCAUCUGAACCUGAUGUCUAUCAUGGAUAUUUAACUGCAGUUCUGUGAGUAUUCCAACUUAACCAUGAAGAUGAACUGCAAACUGUAAGUCAUAAGUUUCUCAUUACUCUUGGGCACAUUGAUGUAUUUUGGAUCCCUGGUGAGUUAACCUGCUACAUGAAGGUUGAUCUGAGUAGUAAGGAUGUUUUAUUGGUUCAUGGGUUACUUAGGUGUUUGGUUUAUGUUCGUAUUAAUGAUUUGUUAAAAUGGUUACAGGCUCCAAGUUAAUGUUGUAAGCUGGAGUAAUGGGUUGGGUUCUGAUAUCAUCAGUCCUCUUUUCAGCUACUCUCCUGAGCUCUGCAUCUUCAUCACAUGAGUGUUGCUUUACUGAUGAGGGUGUGGUCUGAGUGAGCGGAGGUGCAUACUGGGAUACAGAGCUGUCUGAAGUCUACAGGUCUGUAGACACGCCCCCUCAAGGGAAAUCGAGUGUUUGAGAAAAUGUCGUGACGUCAGUUACAUGGACUGGAAUGUUCUUAAAAAUGGAGACAGGGAUUCAGAAGGAGAAACACUAGGGAGGUGAAGGGGCUCCUCAUCUCAACGACUAAAACAGAACUUCAGUCUGACGCAGAGGACCAUGGAACACAUUCAACAGUCGCCUCCAGGCAUCGUGACUCCUCAGGAAGUUUCUUUUCCAAGAAGGUCUUAUAUGGGGCCAUCCCCAGAUGGAUCCUGCUCCUCAAGAGCCACCCCCCCUCCACUGGGUGGUCUUCUGAAGAGAUGACCUCCUUCCUGUCCUCAGUUUGACUAAAGCUGCACCAUUUGCAUCUGAAGGCCCCUCAUUCAGGAAACCACUGGACUACAAAGACAUGACUUCAGAGACGUUGAAUCAACCUGGGACACAUUUAGGAGACGCCAAGCAUAAUCCAUCACCAAUGUGGGACGCCACUGAAGGAUGUUGAACAUAAUUAACGCCUCUGGAGACAUUGGUUGCUCUGUUCUGGGUGCGCUGGGGGGGAUGAUGGAAUGUUAUUUGCUAUGAGGUUUUUACCCUGUAUGAUUGUUUGGCCUUUUGUGGCUCAGUGGUGUGUGUGUGUGUGUUUGGGUUUGACAUGAGAUGGCUGAUUUUUGAGCAUCUCUAGGGUUCUACUGUGUAUCCCAUUCCCACCUGGCAUUGGGUUCUAUGUGUGUUUGGUUCCACCUGCCAUGGGGUUCUACGUGCGUGUCCUAUGUGCGUGUGUCCGGCUUGCUUUGACAGUGAUAAUGUUCAUACGGGGGUCGGUGUGAUGUGGGUUUGGGAUAUUGGAAUGGUCAAAUAAAUCAUACCUGAUGGACGGCCACAUGUUUACUUAAGGGCCUCCAGUAGGCAUGAAGAGCCCUGAGCGACGCUCCCGAGCGAUAUCCAACACACUGGGCAGGAAGGACGGUAUCCAAAUCAAGUGUAAAAGGAUCCAAGCGGUGUGUUCACAUCAGUGACUUCAAACUAGGACUACACCAAUCAGGAUCAAUGGAGGAUGGACACCUAAAGGAAAUCCACAAGGAGUCUGAUGUUGGAAAGGAACCUAAAUGGAUAUUCAAGAUGACCUUCAGACCGGUAAUGAGACGGCUCUUCCUACCUGGCUUGAUUGAUGGAGAGCCCUGUGGAUCUUGUCUUGCUCUCAGUUGCACGUCUUCCUAGGCUGAACUGUAUAUGUUUCGGACAGCACUAGCUGAACGAUUGGUUCUGAUUUAAGGGAACCAAUCUGGGAACUCCAACUAGUGCGCUCUUCGAGCUGAAGUUGUGCUCUUCAGCUGAGGAGGUAAAGAAACCUUCACUGGGGCUUCAAGGUGUAAAGAGGAGAAUGUUUCAAAGUGUUCCAUGGUACUCUGAUGAGGACGGUUGUUGUGUUCCACUGGCUGAGAGGAAGAACCCAAACAUCUUCCUCUUGGCCUUUCUCCUCUGAGAAUCCUGGCGCCAUCUUGGAGGAUAUUCCAGCUCAUGUAACUGAUGUCACGACAGAUUCUCAAACACUUGGUUUCUCCUGAGGGGCGUGUCUAUAGAACUGAAGACUUCACACAGCACUGUAUCCCAGCAUGCAUCGCUGCUCACUCAGACCACACCCCCAUGAGUAGGAUGUAACAUUCUAGUGAUGGAGAUGUAAAGUUUUAUAAGUAACUAGGGAACAGACAAAGGUGAUUAGAAGACGAUGGCAUGUCAAGUCUGUAAAUCCUUAAACCAUGAAGCUGGUUGGAUAGUUCAGGAAUUGGGCUUCUAUUUAUUGUGAGCAGUCGUUUCGCUCAGAUGCCCACUUCUCACUGGACCUGUAUAUUUGUUGGCUGGCUGGCAUGAUUUGCUGUUGGUGAUGAGGCGGUCAAGGUGACGUUGCAGGGCUAUGGUCGGCUCUCGGUGAGCUCAACGUUUAGAUUUGCUCUGUAUGGUUUUUACCCUGAAUAAUCUAGAUAAUUGUAAAAUGUAGACAAGGUUUUGUAUUGACUGAUUCCAUUGUUCUUAGGCAAGGAUUUGAGGUUUAAAGUUGUUGUGGGACGUACAUGGUAGUUUGGUUCUUCGUACGGUUUUGAGUGAUAUAACAUGUACACACUGGGUGCUUAAUAAUGUAAAGGUACACUGAAUAAUAGUAUUGACCAACAGCAACAAACGGAUCUCCUCAAGGUAAGUCUGUUGGCUGUGUUUUAAUGAAGACCAUCGCUGGACUUCAGGAUCUUCCUCCGUUCAGCUCAAGGUGAGGCGCUGGUUAUGUUUUUUCUUUGGUUGGUUCCGGCUGGAAUGUUCGGAUUCCAGUCGGACGGUUUGUGCUUCCCGCCGGGAAGUUUCUGAGUGCGGUCAUUUGAUUUAGUCCCAAUGGUUAGCAUAGAACGUUGUAGUAUUGACAACCAUUAGAAACCACCUGGCAGUUAGUUGGACGCGUUUCCCCUAAGGGAAUCUGGCGGAAUGUUCUGGAUUGUAUUUGCGUAACCUCGAGCCGUUACCAACGGAAACUAUUUCAGUCGGUUUCAAUUGGGAAUUGUUGCCCCAUAUCUUAAGCAACUGAAGUUUGAUAUUAAAUACAUACUGACGCGUACGUCGUAAAAUAUGUUAAUUUACGUUGGUUGCCCCGUACUUUUAACCACGAUGACGUGACGCGACCCUCACUGCGUACAAAACGGCGUUCUCCUUGCGGGCCCAUUUUUGACAUCUGUGAAGGCUGAAAAUCAUUUCAAGGUGGAAGAUAAUUUGACAUUUCUUCAACGGAACCCAGCACCUGAAUAUGGCUAGGUAAAUUUGAUUUUAUAUCGAUACUGCUUAGUGUUAUUUGUUACUUCAGCUUUUGUACGAUCUAAAUAUCUGCUGUCAUUACUUACGUUAAACAACGACUUUGGUGCAGAGUUAGUAACUGGAUAAUAUCAAAGCUAGAAUAAUGGCUGUCCUUCCCACAUGUUAGAAUAGAAGAUACUCUAGAACUGUAAAAGGUUAAAAAGGUAACCUGUAGUUUGUCCCAAGGUGCCUGCCCUCACCAGAGCAAGACCUCCACCUCCUCACCCAGAGCCCGACCUCCACCUCCUGUCAGAAGUCCUCCAGAACAGCUGAAUGGCGAGGCUGGGGACUGGAGGCUUGUGGUGGACCGGAGACUGAGGCUGGAGACCAGGGGCCUGCAGCACCGGACCAGAGGGCAACCAUCACCAAGCUCAUCUGAAGCUCUAAAAUCCACGGUUUCCAUGUCUGGAGGAGCUGAGCUGAUGGAGAUGCAGUGCUGAAGGAGCUGAUGGAGGAGCCGUGCUGCUGAUGGAGGAGCCGUGCAGAUGGAGGAGCCGUGCUGCUGAUGGAGGAGCCGUGCUGCUGAAGGAGCUGCCGUGCUGCUGAAGGAGCUGAUGGAGCAGUCGUGCUGAAGGCCCUGCCUGGUGAAGGACGCCUGACUUGGGACCAGGACUCUGUCUGAGAGCUGCUGAGAUGCUGGAGGCCGACUAGGAAUCGACCAACAAGGAUUCCUCAACGUGUUUCUGGAGCGGAGGCGAGUUGGCAGGGGAGCUGUGAAUCUGGAGGAUGACCAUCACUCUAACAACAAGGAUUACCAGGACUCUGGCUGAGGAGAGCUGAUGGAUGUGCCAAGACUCUGGAGGACGACAUCACUCUACCAUCCAGGAUCCUAAGACAAAUUACAUUUGUAACCAGACCAGGAAUCUGGAGGACUGAUGGAGAAGACGUACAUCUGGAAGGCAAAUCCUGAGGACAACCAGGACUCUACCAUCAAGGAUUCCUCAUAAGUUUGCAUUAUCUGGACAUAGUGGACUAGACGCACCUGAGCUGAACCCGCCCUGAUCCUGACAUCCUGCUGGUCCCGUCUCCUCAGUUCACCUGAGCCUCGUCCUCCAGAAGACCUGCUGAGCUCAGCAGUCUGAGGCUGAUGGUUCAAUGAUCUCCAGUGGGAGUGAACUUCUUGACCCCACAUGUAACCGUGUGCUUCCACAAGCCUUUUCCCUCACGUCUGUCACUAACUUCACUACUGCUUCCUCUUUUCUUCCUUCUCUGUGGUUCGAACCUUUACACGGAAGGCGCGUCUUCCUGCCCUCAGAGGGUUCAGCGUUAGGGUUGAGAGUCAGGGUUUAGAGUCAGGGACAGAGCUGGUCAGGGAGGACUGCUUUUACACAAACCUCUUCACUUGCUUUCGGAAUGGUGGUGUCAUUUUGAAAAGAUUCAUUUGGGAAAAUGUUUUCCUCUGCUUUCCUUUUCAAAAUUGUAUCAAACUUCUGUCAAGUGUUUUUGUUUAUAUAUUAAAAUCCUACAUUGAAUUCUACAUGUUUGGUGCUGUUCAUUUAAUUGUCCUUUAACUUGGUUAAUGUCAAGCUAAACUCCUGCAUACAUUUGAUAUAUGAUUGUUAUUCAGCAAUGUUCACAUAAUCCAUUUUGUAAAAAUAUGAAACCUCCAUAUUACUACUAAAUUCAAGCCUAUUCAUGUAUUUAACAAUGUACAUACUGCCCCGCAGGCCAUUCUCUGCUACCACAACACGUUCAAUCCACCAACCCGUCUCACAUAUACUAUAGCUACGUUGGUUCAAACGGAAAAUGUAGUUUGGUGUGAGACUGCUGUCCAGCAGAGGGAGCUGUCAUACACAUUCAUUAUACAUGAAUGUCUGUGUAUUUACAUUUUAAAAUGUUAAUGGGCUGGCCUGGUGUGUCAGCAAAUAACUCUUCCUCCAGUCACAGGAUUGGUCGAAACAUAUGAAGUGAAAGCCAUAAAAGCCCAGUUCACCAGAUCUGAGGUCAGCUGCGGUCAUGAGCUAACCACCUGGAACUUGGUGCGUUUCCCGGAGCUCUGAACGCAGACCCUGAACCCAGACAUCCUAAUCACAGACCCUGUGUUAAAUUAGCCCCGAAUAUAAUUUUUGGGUUAAAAAUAAAUAAAAGUAAAAAUAUUUAUAAUUAUUUAUAAGACUAUAUUCUAGAUAGUCCAUCUGGCAAGAGAAUAAAACAGUUUAAAAACAUAACCUUUUU